GUCUUUCUCUGCCUUAGUUUCCUUGGUAUCUUUGGGAAGGACAUUACAGUUGAUGGUGUGCCAAACUGGUCUCUCUUCUUGGAACAAUGGGUGCUUGCAAAGCAUUGGACACUGUAUUGUAAGGGCAUACUUGCAAGUAGAUAGCUCUGUGAUAGAACUAAUCAUAGCUCUAGGCUCUGAGCAUACGAACCUCACCUCAGUUUCACGGGGCUGAUUUGUAAGGUCACACAUGGUUCCAUUUGUGUAUUGAUGAGCAUGAUACCUUUGAGAUGCAUCUUUUGAGCGAGGAUCUUUCAAAGUAGAAACAUCAGAGAGAUUCUGGUUGUACGCAGCUGUUGCUUCUUCAUCAUAAACACCCAAAACAAAUUCUUGAACCACCUUAUCAUCUUCUAAAUGAACUUGCCGCAGCUUCUUCUGAUAGCAGAAUUCAUAAGACCACCAACCCUCUUGUCUGAUGAAACAUCGAUCUUUCAACACUUCAAGCAGCUCAUCUGGUGUUUUCAAUUUGACACGUUUCUCAGUUUCGACAAUCAUGCUGCUCACAUUCAAUUGAUUAACAGGCUUUCCACUCUUGACUUUCUCCACCUUGGGCAAGUAACAUAAAUAAUUCUGUCCAUUCUUGUCAGGCAUAACCACUGACUCCUGGUCAUCAUCAGGAUGAAAAGGUGAGUCUUCUGGAUGGAAUUCAAUCUUAUACUUUGGUUCACGAGAGCUGCGACUGAAGGAACCACCCACAGGACCUGGGAAGAUCUGAUCGGCUAAAACAUGACUCCACAGAGUGUAUACAACAAGAAUUGACCAUAAAAAUCUCAUCUUUCGUAUUGUGUUGUUUUCUCUCUUAUCUGGCUAUAAUAAUCUAUAAACCUUCAAAAA
rnacentral:misc_RNA from 1 species